AGCGAACGCUGGCGGCAGGCUUAACACAUGCAAGUCGAGCGGGCACUUCGGUGUCAGCGGCAGACGGGUGAGUAACACGUGGGAACGUACCCUUUGGUUCGGAAUAACGCUGGGAAACUAGCGCUAAUACCGGAUACGCCCUUUUGGGGAAAGGCUUGCUGCCGAAGGAUCGGCCCGCGUCUGAUUAGCUAGUUGGUGGGGUAAUGGCCUACCAAGGCGACGAUCAGUAGCUGGUCUGAGAGGAUGAUCAGCCACACUGGGACUGAGACACGGCCCAGACUCCUACGGGAGGCAGCAGUGGGGAAUAUUGGACAAUUGGCUCAAGCCUGAUCCAGCCAUGCCGCGUGAGUGAUGAAGGCCUUAGGGUUGUAAAGCUCUUUUGUCCGGGACGAUAAUGACGGUACCGGAAGAAUAAGCCCCGGCUAACUUCGUG
rnacentral:rRNA from 1 species